ACUACCUUAGUAUAUUGAUUAUAUUAGCUUUUCGUGCUAAAGAUGUGAUACUAGUGUCAUAGGUAGUA
rnacentral:tRNA from 1 species